GUGGGGAAUAUUGGACAAUGGGGGGAACCCUGAUCCAGCCAUGCCGCGUGUGUGAAGAAGGCCUUUUGGUUGUAAAGCACUUUAAGCGAGGAGGAGGCUACCGAGAUUAAUACUCUUGGAUAGUGGACGUUACUCGCAGAAUAAGCACCGGCUAACUCUGUGCCAGCAGCCGCGGUAAUACAGAGGGUGCAAGCGUUAAUCGGAUUUACUGGGCGUAAAGCGCGCGUAGGUGGCCAAUUAAGUCAAAUGUGAAAUCCCCGAGCUUAACUUGGGAAUUGCAUUCGAUACUGGUUGGCUAGAGUAUGGGAGAGGAUGGUAGAAUUCCAGGUGUAGCGGUGAAAUGCGUAGAGAUCUGGAGGAAUACCGAUGGCGAAGGCAGCCAUCUGGCCUAAUACUGACACUGAGGUGCGAAAGCAUGGGGAGCUAACAGGAUUAGAUACCCGGGUAGUCC
rnacentral:rRNA from 1 species